UACGUAGGUGACCAGCGUUGUCCGGAUUUACUGGGCGUAAAGAGCGCGCAGGCGGUCGUUCAAGUCGCGUGUGAAAGCCCCCGGCUCAACUGGGGAGGGUCACGCGAUACUGAUCGACUCGAAGGCAGGAGAGGGUAGUGGAAUUCCCGGUGUAGUGGUGAAAUGCGUAGAUAUCUGGAGGAACACCGGUGGCGAAGGCGGCAUCCUGGACCGGUAUUGACGCUGAGGCGCGAAAGCCAGGGAGCAAAGCGGG
rnacentral:rRNA from 1 species